GGCUAAGGUGGGGUCGGGAGGGGCGGGAACACGUAGGGGGGUAUGGGUGUCCGGGAUGAAUGUGCGUAAAGGCGGGGUAGGCGGCCCGGUAAGUCCGCUGUGAAAGUCGGGGGCUAAACCCUCGGAUGCCGGUGGAUACUGUCGGGCUUGAGUACGGAAGAGGCGAGUGGAAUUCCUGGUGUAGCGGUGAAAUGCGCAGAUAUCAGGAGGAACACCGAUUGCGAAGGCAGCUCGCUGGGACGUUACUGACGCUGAGACGCGAAAGCGUGGGGAGCAAACAGGAUUAGAUACCCUGGAGUC
rnacentral:rRNA from 1 species